CCCGACGCAAGUGUCUUUGCUAGACGCAGUUUUCAAUUUCCCGUCCAGCGCCCGCGACUAGGAUUAGCGUGUGUCUGACAGGGUAGGGGGCGUGGCAUCACGAUGGUGGCUCUCCAUCGUGAUGUCAGCCAGCCAUCACGAUGGACGAUGAUAUCGUCCAUCGGCACAACCCUAUAGCUAAUCCAUGUAAAA